UACGGGGGGAGCAAGCGUUGUUCGGAUUUACUGGGCGUAAAGGGCGCGUAGGCGGUCAGCACAAGUCAGUUGUGAAAUCUCCGGGCUUAACUCGGAAAGGUCAACUGAUACUGUGCGACUAGAGUGCAGAAGGGGCAACUGGAAUUCUCGGUGUAGCGGUGAAAUGCGUAGAUAUCGAGAGGAACACCUGCGGCGAAGGCGGGUUGCUGGGCUGACACUGACGCUGAGGCGCGAAAGCUAGGGGAGCGAACGAG
rnacentral:rRNA from 1 species